UUGUGUGCACCAGAGCACAGGUACUGAGAGAUGCAGACACAGCGGGGCAUGCUGCCCUCAAGCUCAGGAUGGACGACGGAAGAUGGACGCGGACAUCAAUCACCACAAUACAAGGAGUCAUUACUAAGGUGCAGCAGUGUCUCAGAUGUCCACAAAUAGAUGAUGGAGGCCAGCCCUUGUCCUCAAGGCCAUGCAUGACAUUUUCAAAGGAAUCAUGGCCUUCUCUCAUGGUACAGUGGAUAAGAAUCCACCUAGCACUGCAGGGAGCAUGGGCCCCAUCCCUGGUCCAGGAAGAUCCCACACGCCAUGGAGCAGCUGAGCCUGUGCGCCACAACUCCUGAGCAUGAGAGCCACAACUACUGAGUCCAUGAGUGCCUCGAGCCCACAUGCCGAACAAGAGAUGCCACUGUAGUGAGAAGACUGUGCCCUGCAAUGAAGAGCAGACCCUGCUCACCGCUGUUAAAGAAAGCCCAUGCACAGCAAUAAAGAUUCAAUGCAGCCAAAAGCA
rnacentral:lncRNA from 1 species